rnacentral:misc_RNA from 1 species
CUGAAAUGGAUACCAUGGACAUCAAAUAUGUCAAUAAGUGUAGGUUUGUGGUUGCAUCUGGAAUCUUUGAUGGAUAUGAUGUGCCUCAUCAGCCUUCAAAUAUAAGUGACCGUUCUAAGAAACUGUUUUGCUUUCUUAUGGUGGUGGAUGAGGUUUCUCUUGAUUUCAUAAAGGAAAAUGCCACUGUAGUGGAGGACAGUAGUGGGGGACUAUGGGUCGGCAUAUGGCGUCUUAUUCUACUGAAGCACCCAC